GAUGAACGCUGGCGGCGUGCCUAAUACAUGCAAGUCGAGCGAACAGACGAGGAGCUUGCUCCUCUGACGUUAGCGGCGGACGGGUGAGUAACACGUGGAUAACCUACCUAUAAGACUGGGAUAACUUCGGGAAACCGGAGCUAAUACCGGAUAAUAUAUUGAACCGCAUGGUUCAAUAGUGAAAGACGGUUUUGCUGUCACUUAUAGAUGGAUCCGCGCCGCAUUAGCUAGUUGGUAAGGUAACGGCUUACCAAGGCAACGAUGCGUAGCCGACCUGAGAGGGUGAUCGGCCACACUGGAACUGAGACACGGUCCAGACUCCUACGGGAGGCAGCAGUAGGGAAUCUUCCGCAAUGGGCGAAAGCCUGACGGAGCAACGCCGCGUGAGUGAUGAAGGUCUUCGGAUCGUAAGACUCUGUUAUUAGGGAAGAACAAAUGUGUAAGUAACUAUGCACGUCUUGACGGUACCUAAUCAGAAAGCCACGGCUAACUACGUG
rnacentral:rRNA from 1 species